rnacentral:rRNA from 1 species
CCAAAAGCUGGCGACCGGCGCACGGGUGAGUAACACGUAUCCAACCUGCCUCAUACUCGGGGAUAGCCUUUCGAAAGAAAGAUUAAUAUCCGAUAGCAUAUAUUUCCCGCAUGGGUUUUAUAUUAAAGAAAUUCGGUAUGAGAUGGGGAUGCGUUCCAUUAGUUUGUUGGGGGGGUAACGGCCCACCUAGUCUUCGAUGGAUAGGGGUUCUGAGAGGAAGGUCCCCCACAUUGGAACUGAGACACGGUCCAA